UUCCCUAAAUUCCCCCCUAAAACCCCUAAUUUUUCCCCCUAAAAUUUGUAUCCUCAAAACACCCUUUAGGUGUUUCUAUCCGCCACCACGCCUUCAUCAUCAUCGUUCCCUACUUUUGCUACUUUAAGCUCCUCUUCUUCUCAACCACCGUCUUUGUUUUUCUCUUGUUUAUCCGGUCGGUGUAUUUUUCAGGAAAAUCCAAAUUUUUCCGAAAGAUUUCCCGACCGACGAUUAUUCCAUCUUUAUCUUUUCGUCAAAAUCUCGAAAAUCAAAACAAUUCCGGUGUUUUUGUUUUUGAAGCUAAAGAGUCAUCUUGUUUUCCUUCUCCUGAUCGCUUGAUUUUGCCGCUAAACCUCUUCUGAUUUUGCAGCUAGGUACACUGUGAGAUCUUUUGGAAUCAGGCGUAAUGAGAAGAUUGCUUGCUACGUGACUCUGAAUAUUUCAAGUACAAAAGAUGAAAAAUAAAGAAGAAUCGUUUCAAUUCUUAGCCAUGGCGGAACAGGUCCACAUUCCUCUUUCUCUGCCUUUUAUCUGUCUUAUUUUUAUUUGUUGAAACUGCUUUGAUCUUUCUUUUUAUUUUAUAUUAGACGGAGAAAGCAUUUCUCAAACACCCAAAGGUGUUUUUAAGGUGAACUAGCUUCUUCCAUGUCUUUAUUAAUUCUUGGUUUUGUUGAUUUCAUUUUUAGAUUAUUGUUUCCCCCCUGUUAAAUUAUGAAUCCAUCUGUUACAAAUCUGUUUUGCAUUGUUCAUCAAAUAACAUGCACAAAUAAUAUUAUUUGUAUAUAUUUUGAGGAAAAUUAUAAUAUUAUUAUAUAUAAUCAAUGCAAAAUUUUUAAGGCACCUUAUUAAAUACGAAAUUUAUAGGCACGAAACUAAGAAUGAUUGAAGCUUCUGCAAACUUUUUUGUUGUCAACAUGGCGACUUUAGCUUUCUCAGCAUCAAUAAUUAUUGAACUGUUAACCUUAAUCUACUCAAAAUCACAUUCCUUAGCAAGCUUCAUAACUAGCUUAACGACACACUAAUCUCUUAAAAGCAAAGAAUUUAAUUGAAGUUCAUAUUUUUGCAAGUUAAAUUUAGUAGAGUCUGUCAUCAUUCAUUGUGUGGUUAUUUGUGUUUUUCGGCCACUGUAUGUUGUUUUUGCUUUUUCCUUUUGUGGUGCUUUGUCGCACAGCACUUAGGCUACAUAUCCCCACGAGUUUGAAGACUUCGCUACUAAAAUUCUGUGGAAGGCAAAUUUCUCUAUAAAUUAUGAAAUUGUUCUAAAAGAAAAGAAAGAAGCUUAAAAUGUGAAAAAAAAAAGAACUCAUCAAACUGUUCUUUUUUGAACAUUAAAUACCUCUGCUAGUAAUUUUGGAUACCGCUUCUUUGCUUCCAAUCAUACCUUGUUUAUUUCUAUUCCAAUUAGAUUACAUUGAUAUGAGCAUGCUUUAUCUGUUGACACCUUUCAUAAACUAGUUUCUGUGCAAAUCACGUAUCCUUUUCAUAAUUCCUUGAAAAGAUUUUAUAUUACAAAAUAAGAUCAUUGUCUAUCUUUAAGUUUUGUUCCUCAUGAAGUUUGAACAUAGAUUUGUUGACCAGAAUGUUGUGUUUCAUGUUUUCACUUAGAAAUACCCUUUGUAACUUUUUUAAACAUUUACCUGAUUUUGGCCAACCGAAAUCUUCUUACUUCUUAUCUACAUGUUUUUUAUUCAAUUAUUGGAUAUUCUGUUUGAUUCCGUGUUAAAAUGUGGAAGGUGUUACUGGAUUAUGGAUUGGCAUUCUGUAACUAUUUUCCUUGACAAACUUACAAAUAAAGCAAUCACAUUCACUAUUUUUCAAGCCUUUCAAACCACUUGCGUCUUACUCCUCUAUGUUGAAUCAAAUUGUGGAAUUGCUAAGUGCUAGAGACUAUAAAGCUGCCAUGCAGCUAUCAGAAAAUCUAAGAAGCUUGGCACUGAAGGGACUUCAUUAUUUUCAAACUUUUUGAGGAUUCACUUCGGCUUUCUCUUCUGUUUUUGCUUCUUUGAUUCAGCUAAUAGAGCAUGUAGAUACCAAAUUUGCAGUUCAAAUUCGAAGCCAUGCUCAAAAGUUUUUCUCUAAGGCUCAUUGCUUUGGGUUCAUUACAAGAUUUCCUUGAUUAAGUAAAUGUAUUGUAUAUUUUAUUACCUUGCAUAUGUAUUAUUUAUUUUAGUUUUGAUUCUAAAUUUUUAUUUUUACUUAAGUGUUCUAACUUUUAGAUUUUAAUUGUGUUAUUAAUUUAUUAUUUUAAAUUCUAAAUUUAAAUUCAUUAAA